rnacentral:rRNA from 1 species
CCUACGGGGGGCUGCAGUGGGGAAUAUUGGACAAUGGGGGGAACCCUGAUCCAGCCAUGCCGCGUGUGUGAAGAAGGCCCUCGGGUUGUAAAGCACUUUCAGUGAGGAAGAACGCCUGGUGGUUAAUACCCAUCAGGAAAGACAUCACUCACAGAAGAAGCACCGGCUAACUCCGUGCCAGCAGCCGCGGUAAUACGGAGGGUGCGAGCGUUAAUCGGAAUUACUGGGCGUAAAGCGCGCGUAGGUGGCUUGAUAAGCCGGUUGUGAAAGCCCCGGGCUCAACCUGGGAACGGCAUCCGGAACUGUCAAGCUAGAGUGCAGGAGAGGAAGGUAGAAUUCCCGGUGUAGCGGUGAAAUGCGUAGAGAUCAGGAGGAAUACCAGUGGCGAAGGCGGCCUUCUGGACUGACACUGACACUGAGGUGCGAAAGCGUGGGUAGCAAACAGGAUUAGAUACCCCAGUAGUC